rnacentral:rRNA from 1 species
GACGAACGCUGGCGGCGUGCUUAACACAUGCAAGUCGAACGGAAAGGCCCUGCUUUUGUGGGGUGCUCGAUUGGCGAACGGGUGAGUAACACGUGAGUAACCUGCCCUUUACUUUGUGAUAACUUCAGGAAACUGGGGCUAAUACCGGAUAGUAUCUCCUGCUGCAUGGUGUGGGUUGGAAAGUUUCGGCUGUUGGGGAUGGACUCGCGGCUUAUCAGCUUGUUGGUGGGGUAGUUGCUUACCAAGGCUUUGACGGGUAGCCGGCCUGAGAGGGUGACAGGGAAAAAUGGGACUGAGAGACGGAACAGAAUCGAACGGGAGGCAGCAGGGGGGAAUAUUGCAAAAUGGGCGGAAGCAUGAUGCAGCAAAGCGGCGGGGGGGAUGAAGGCCUGCGGGUUGUAAACAGAUUUAGCAUGUGACGAAGAGUGAGUGACGGUAAUGGGUAAAGAAGCACCGGCUAACUACGUG